CUAUCUUUGUCCCGCUUUGGUGAUACGCCAGCCUCCGGUUGCCGUAUAAAAGGGAAUCCGGUGAGAAUCCGGAAUAGUGCCUGCUACUGUGAAGCCCGCUAUAAAAGGAAAACAUGCUUACACCACUGUCCGUGACAAGGAUGGGAAGGUCGUUUUCCGGGCAAGUCAGGAAACCUGCCAGACAGACAAAUCCGUU
rnacentral:ncRNA from 2 species